UGUGGGUUUGUCUCUCCAUCGGAGGCAUCCUCUCUUGGAGCCGAUUAGGGUGCCGCGGGCGCCCCGUGGAGCAGAGGGACAGAGAGUUCCCUUCGGUCCCCUGCUCCUCCCACGGGCGCGCACGGGCACGCCCCAACGGUCCUAGGAACAUCCUGCCCAGAGGAGCGUGCCGGCCGGCCACAGCCCACCUACAACGGAGGCGUCCGUGUCCGUCCGUGUCCGUCAUCCUCGUCCAGAGCCCCCCGUCUGCCUGCCCUCGCCUUCACGCCUGGCACUGUCCGUCCAUUCUGUAGGUUCAUCUCGAACCUGCCCGGAGCCCGGCGGCAUCUUCCCGGAUCAGGGAUCGAUCGAAAACACCCUGUCCCCUGCCUCAUCGGCAGGUGGAUUCUUCACCACUGGACCACCAGCAGGGAAGUCCCUUCACAGCCUUCUAAACUCAUCUACCCCGAAACAGUCCACGUCGUCCUCCAACUCAUUGGACCAUCACGACUAAAAUGAAGGAAAAUAUGUUCGUUCGAGAAUGUCUUCACUCCUCAGUGCUUCUUGCUUUAGAACCACCAGUAGGCAUCUCUCUCUCUCUCUCUCUCUCUCUCUCUCCUCUCUCUCUCUCUCCACACACACACCACACACGAAACAGAGGUGGGCUCAUAGUCCAAAAGAAACCACGUUUGUGUGUAUCCAUCAUAUUCCCCAUGACCCGCCGGGCAGCUUCCGGGAAACCAAAGUCUUUGGGUUCCGGGGGGAGUAUGGUUGCAAAGCUGAAACUUAAAGGAAUUGACGGAAGGGCACCACCAGGAGUGGAGCCUGCGGCUUAAUUUGACUCAACACGGGAAACCUCACCCGGCCCGGACACGGACAGGAUUGACAGAUUGAUAGCUCUUUCUCGAUUCCGUGGGUGGUGGUGCAUGGCCGUUCUUAGUUGGUGGAGCGAUUUGUCUGGUUAAUUCCGAUAACGAACGAGACUCUGGCAUGCUAACUAGUUACGCGACCCCCGAGCGGUCGGCGUCCCCCAACUUCUUAGAGGGACAAGUGGCGUUCAGCCACCCGAGAUUGAGCAAUAACAGGUCUGUGAUGCCCUUAGAUGUCCGGGGCUGCACGCGCGCUACACUGACUGGCUCAGCGUGUGCCUACCCUACGCCGGCAGGCGCGGGUAACCCGUUGAACCCCAUUCGUGAUGGGGAUCGGGGAUUGCAAUUAUUCCCCAUGAACGAGGAAUUCCCAGUAAGUGCGGGUCAUAAGCUUGCGUUGAUUAAGUCCCUGCCCUUUGUACACACCGCCCGUCGCUACUACCGAUUGGAUGGUUUAGUGAGGCCCUCGGAUCGGCCCCGCCGGGGUCGGCCCACGGCCCUGGCGGAGCGCUGAGAAGACGGUCGAACUUGACUAUCUAGAGGAAGUAAAAGUCGUAACAAGGUUUCCGUAGGUGAACCUGCGGAAG
rnacentral:rRNA from 1 species